AAGAGACCGAGCAUUAAUGAGCAGCCUAACAGUGGCAAGGCCUCCCGUCUCGAUGUGAGUCAAUUGCCCUACUGCGUGUACGAACGAAAGGGACGUGAUUCCUGCAUGUGCUGCAAUACUCAUCAAUGUUAUCACAACGUAUUUCUACGGUGUACAGAACCAGGAGCACCUGAUUUUCCAUGAAAAUGCUGUCACGGGAGCCUUAAACUUCAUUGCUGGGCGCUGCUGCAAGGAGAAACUGGAGAGCAUCAUCUGCGAGGUUAUUUUUUGUCUCAGUGAUGCCCCAUGUCUCACACCAUGCGCCAUAAUUACGGGUGAAGACGUUAAAGUCUACGUCGACCAGCAAGAAGUCUUCACCGCGUCCUCUUUGCUUGGUGGAAUCUGCAGCAUUUUUGCCGCCUUACCUUUCUAUAACGUGCCUUUGCAGAACUGCAGGAAACUAAGCCACGAGUGAAAUGCGUUGACCUUCUUUAGUUUUUCAUACUUACAGUAAGGACAAUUAAAGGGACCAUGAUGAUUUU